rnacentral:rRNA from 1 species
UACGUAGGGGGCAAGCGUUGUCCGGAAUCAUUGGGCGUAAAGAGCGUGUAGGCGGCCCGGUAAGUCCGCUGUGAAAGUCCAGGGCUCAACCCUGGGAUGCCGGUGGAUACUGUCGGGCUCGAGUCCGGAAGAGGAGUGUGGAAUUCCUGGUGUAGCGGUGAAAUGCGCAGAUAUCAGGAGGAACACCGGUGGCGAAGGCGGGACUCUGGGCCGAUACUGACGCUGAGGAGCGAAAGCGUGGGGAGCGAACAGG